UUCAUGCAGCCUUACAAGCUGAAAAUAUUUUCUUUUUUCUUGAUCUUAGUCUGCAUCAUAUUGAACAAACAGAAGCCUGGAGUAACCCGAUUUGAAUUUUAAACUGUAUCACAGCCUCACUUGACACAGAUUUCUGAUUGGUUGAUCACAGUGGGAGGGAAAACUCUGUGGUUGACGUCACCAACGGGCCGGAAUCUGCAAGCGGGAGAAGUGCAGAGAACGAGAGACUUUUGACGACCGUUUAUCGUAUUUUUUCUGCGUUUUAACAAUCCGUGGGAUGAAUCUCCAACUUUUUUUUUGCUUGUCUAGAAAAGAUUCAAGUAAAAUAUUUGAAGUUUGCACGGUGAUCUAAAUUCUACACGUGAAAAUAAGUGAAUCAGAACCCAUGUUCCUCCACACUGCCAUUAUGGAGGUCCUACCAGAGCCACAAAAGACAUCCUGGAAGAACACUUGCAGUCCAUUGGAAUAAAUGGAGUUGUAUGAGGAUCUACGAUUCAUAGAAGAGGCUGACUUGCUGCCAGCUUUGAGACCUGUUCAAGCCCGGAAACGUCUUGCUUUCUGGAAAUUGAAAUACCAAACGCCAGAGAACAGCACAUCGUCAUCUGUUGAGACCUCACCAACACAAUCAUCAUCACUUUUGUUAUUGUCACCGAGGUGUUCGUCAUCCACAUCUUCCAGAAGCUGAGGACUGUACAUACAUUGACUGGGAGGACAGCUUUGAAAUUCCAUGGAGUAAGUUUUCUGAGGAAUUUGUGCAGAGGGGAAAGAGACCUGGCCCAAGACUAAGGAAGGAAAUGGUUUGCACUCUUGUUGCGGAAAUGAUGAAAGCAAGACGGUUUUCCAGACUCUAAAAGGCUGCAGAUGAUGCGGGGAGAGCAGAGUGGCUGCUCAGAAGAGAUGAGAUGUUAAAGAGAUGCGCUUUCUUCUGCUCUGCUACUUUAAUGAGGAGGAUGCCAUGUUCUUGUAGAAGAUGCAGACGAGGUCCAGCUGCAGCAGGUGCCGUUGACUCCAACUGUUAUUUAUGUGGACAGUCUUGCUUUUCCUCAAGGAGGUUCAUGCUGAGUUGGGACCGCUCCAUCGUACACAACAACAUUGCAGCACUGUGCCUGAUGUUCAGAAGCUACUUCUGCUUUAACAGUCAUUAUCCAACUGAGCUGGCUUCAACCCUGGAGUUUCUGCAAAGCUGAUGUCCUAAGAUGUGCCACUCUACCUGGUUGGGAACAAAUUGAAGAGGCCAAGCUCAAGAAAGCCGUUGUCAGCAAAUGUAGGGCAGUGCAGGUUCUAAGGCCACUGCUAUGAUCUACAGUAUGCGGACUGGUUUCUCUUCCAUCUUUUUUCUUAUUUUUUAUCUUAAUUUGGUUCUCAAAUUGGUUCAUGGAUUUGAUAGUCUGCAAGUUUCAGAGAAUGUUUUUAUCAGGUACUUUUUUACGUGGUUACAUAAUCUUGUUUUUUUCCUUGUACCUCAGCAGUGCUGUCAGUGUGUUUGUUGUUUAAAAUCAGGAAGUUUUCUUUACCAUCAUGUCAGCCACAUUUAGUACGCCACAGUUCAUGUACUUAAUGCAUUUAAUAUUUUAAAAAAUGUGUAAUACUGCUACCACAAUUCAAAUGCUGUACUGAUGAUGGUGCUGCCCAAAUAAAGUGUAAAGCUUUUACAUUUUUA